rnacentral:rRNA from 1 species
CGAAAGCCUGACGGAGCAAGACCGCGUGAGGGAGGAAGGCUCUUGGGUUGUAAACCUCUUUUCUCAGGGAAGAAGCUCUGACGGUACCUGAGGAAUCAGCCUCGGCUAACUCCGUGCCAGCAGCCGCGGUAAUACGGAGGAGGCAAGCGUUAUCCGGAAUUAUUGGGCGUAAAGCGUCCGCAGGUGGCGAUUCAAGUCUGCUGUCAAAGCACGGGGCUUAACUCCGUAAAGGCAGUGGAAACUGAAUAGCUAGAGUGCCGUAGGGGUAGAGGGAAUUCCCGGUGUAGCGGUGAAAUGCGUAGAGAUCGGGAGGAACAUCAAUGGCGAAGGCAACUUACUGGACAUUUACUGACGCUCAGACACGAAGGCUAGGGGAGCG